UGUGCUCUUUGUGCUGUCCAACAAAGUCUCUAGGUGCCUCCUUUCUUGCUUCAGAAGUCCCUCCCUAGCUCUGUUGUAACCAGGAAUCAAAUAACCUUGCAUGUUGCGGCUGCAAGCAAAGGCAAAGGCUUCUCGAAGAAACAGGCCCCCUCUUGUUCCUCUUGUUGGUGUCAGCAGUAUUGCUUGAGGAAGGAGCAGUAGGCAAAGAAACAGUUCUUGUCUUCGAUCUUUCCACCAAAUCCUUGCACCUUUCAACUUCCUUCCUCAUGUCACUAAGCAUUUCAUAUGUAACAUUAGGACAUUUACUUAUUCCCAGUCUUCCCUUCUGCAGCAAAUGAGCUUCAACUCUAGUGUAACUACUCAGUUUUUCCAUUGUACAGUACUUGCAGCGCCAUAAAGUAUUUCCUCCACCA